rnacentral:rRNA from 1 species
UACGUAGGGUGCAAGCGUUGUCCGGAAUUAUUGGGCGUAAAGAGCUCGUAGGCGGCUUGUCGCGUCGGCUGUGAAAACCCGGGGCUCAACCCAGGGCCUGCAGUCGAUACGGGCAGGCUAGAGUCCGGUAGGGGAGACUGGAAUUCCUGGUGUAGCGGUGAAAUGCGCAGAUAUCAGGAGGAACACCGGUGGCGAAGGCGGGUCUCUGGGCCGAUACUGACGCUGAGGAGCGAAAGCGUGGGGAGCGAACAGG